UGGGGAAUCUUGGACAAUGGGGGCAACCCUGAUCCAGCCAUGCCGCGUGAGUGAUGAAGGCCUUAGGGUCGUAAAGCUCUUUCGCCUGUGAAGAUAAUGACGGUAGCAGGUAAAGAAACCCCGGCUAACUCCGUGCCAGCAGCCGCGGUAAUACGGAGGGGGCUAGCGUUGUUCGGAAUUACUGGGCGUAAAGCGCGCGUAGGCGGACUGAUCAGUCAGGGGUGAAAUCCCGGGGCUCAACCCCGGAACUGCCUUUGAUACUGUCAGUCUUGAGUCCGGAAGAGGCGAGUGGAAUUCCAAGUGUAGAGGUGAAAUUCGUAGAUAUUUGGAGGAACACCAGUGGCGAAGGCGGCUCACUGGCUCGAUACUGACGCUGAGGUGCGAAAGUGUGGGGAGCAAACAGGAUUAGAUACCCUGGUAGUCCACGCCGUAAACGAUGUCUGCUAGUCGUUGGGGGAGCAUAGCUCUUCGGUGACGCAGCUAACGCAUUAAGCAGACCGCCUGGGAGUACGGCCGCAAGGUUAAAACUCAAAGGAAUUGA
rnacentral:rRNA from 1 species